UACGUAGGGGGCAAGCGUUGUCCGGAUUUAUUGGGCGUAAAGAGCGUGUAGGCGGCCUGACAAGUCUGCUGUGAAAACUCGAGGCUCAACCUCGAGAUGUCGGCGGAAACUGUCUGGCUAGAGUCCGGAAGAGGAGAGUGGAAUUCCUGGUGUAGCGGUGAAAUGCGCAGAUAUCAGGAGGAACACCGGUGGCGAAGGCGGAUCUCUGGGCCUUACCUGACGCUCAGGUGCGAAAGCUAGGGGAGCGAACAGG
rnacentral:rRNA from 1 species